CUAGUUGGUGAGGUAAGGGCUCACCAAGGCGACGAUCCCUAGCUGGUCUGAGAGGAUGAUCAGCCACACUGGAACUGAGACACGGUCCAGACUCCUACGGGAGGCAGCAGUGGGGAAUAUUGCGCAAUGAGCGAAAGCUUGACGCAGCGACACCGCGUGUGGGAUGACGGAUCUAGGUUUGUAAACCACUUUCAGGAGGGAAGAAAAUGACGGUACCUCCACAAGAAGCCCCGGCCAACUACGUGCCAGCAGCCGCGGUAAUACGUAGGGGGCGAGCGUUGUCCGGAUUUAUUGGGCGUAAAGAGCUCGUACGCGGUUCAACAAGUCGGUCGUGAAAGUCCAGGGCUCAACCCUGAAAUGUCGAUCGAUACUGUUGUGACUAGGAUACGGUAGAGGUGAGUGGAAUUCCGAGUGUAGCGGUGAAAUGCGUAGAUAUUCGGAGGAACACCAUUGCAAGGCGCUCCUGGGCCGCUAUCGACGCUACGAC
rnacentral:rRNA from 1 species